rnacentral:rRNA from 1 species
GAUGAACGCUGGCGGCGUGCCUAAUACAUGCAAGUCGAGCGAACGGACGAGAAGCUUGCUUUUCUGAUGUUAGCGGCGGACGGGUGAGUAACACGUGGAUAACCUACCUAUAAGACUGGGAUAACUUCGGGAAACCGGAGCUAAUACCGGAUAAUAUUUUGAACCGCAUGGUUCAAAAGUGAAAGACGGUCUUGCUGUCACUUAUAGAUGGAUCCGCGCUGCAUUAGCUAGUUGGUAAGGUAACGGCUUACCAAGGCAACGAUGCAUAGCCGACCUGAGAGGGGGAUCGGCCACACUGGAACUGAGACACGGUCCAGACUCCUACGGGAGGCAGCAGUAGGGAAUCUUCCGCAAUGGGCGAAAGCCUGACGGAGCAACGCCGCGUGAGUGAUGAAGGUCUUCGGAUCGUAAAACUCUGUUAUUAGGGAAGAACAGAUGUGUAAGUAACUGUGCACAUCUUGACGGUACCUAAUCAGAAAGCCACGGCUAACUACGUG